CUCUUCAUACAUUUCCUUAAAAUUCUUCUGAAACACCAAAACUAAAUAAUCGAAUAUGGCUUUGCGGGUCGAUGAUGCCAGCAACAAUGAGGCUGCAAUUAUCACUUGUUUAGUUUCUAUGCUUGCCGUGGUUUAUUUCGUAUGGAAUGUGAACAAAUCAAGGAAAGCAAAUGCUAAACUGCCACCAGGACCUCGCGGUUUGCCUGUAGUCGGAUACCUCCCAUUUCUCGGAACUACUGACUUGCACAAGAAAUUCACGGAAUUAUCCGGAGUUUAUGGUCCGAUCUUCAAGCUCUGGCUCGGAAAUAAAUUAAGUGUCGUGGUGAGCUCACCUUCCCUAGUUAAACAAGUGGUUCGUGAUCAAGAUACAACAUUCGCAGACCGUGACCCGCCGAUCUCAGGACUAGUGACCUCCUUUGGUGGCAAUGAUAUUACAUGGUCCAAUUACGGUCCCGAAUGGAGAAAGUUGCGCAAAUUUUUUGUGGGCAAGAUGAUGAGUAACGCAAGCCUUGAUGCUUGUUAUGCUUUAAGAAAACAUGAGGUUAAAAAUACUAUCAGGGAUUUGUAUAACAACGGCAACAAAAUUGGUAAGCCCAUUGACAUUGGUGAAUUGUCGAUUUCAACAUUGGUAUGUGCUAUGCAGAACAUGCUGUGGGGUGAAGCGCUUGAAUUAAAAGAGAAAGGGACAACUAAUCUUGGGGUUGAGCUAAAAUUUAAGUUUGCAGAACUCAUGGUGCUACUGGGAACACCGAAUAUUUCGGAUAUCUUUCCAAUGCUUUCUUGGCUCGACAUACAAGGUAUAGAGAGGAGAGCAAAGAAGAUUUCACUCUGGUUUGAAAAAAUUAUAAAUUCUACUGUUGAAAAGUAUAGAAGCAAGGACUUUAAUGUUGAAGGUAAAGAAAGAGCAGGGGAAAAUUUUGAAGGAUCAAGGAACAAGAACUUCUUGCAGUUACUAUUGGAGCUUCAAGAAAAUGAAGACGGUUCUUCCUCAAUUAGCAUGAACCAAUUUAAGGCCGUACUCGUGGUAUGUUAAGAAACUAGCCGCAAACAGUUAUACAAGCACAGCUGUAUAUUUUGCAUGAGUGAUAUUUUCAACCUUUUUUUUUUAUAAUUAGAAUUUUAUUGUAACCUUUUGGACAGGAUAUAAUUACGGCUGGAACCGACACCACAACUACGAUGGUGGAAUGGACAAUGGCAGAGUUGAUGCAGCAUCCACAAAUAAUGAAGAAAGUUCAGGAAGAAUUAGCUCAAGUUGUGGGCAUGGACAGUUGUGUUGAAGAAUUUCAUUUGCCUAAAUUGAAAUAUUUAGAUGCUGUGGUGAAAGAAUCGUCUCGUCUGCAUCCUGCAGUGCCUUUAUUACUACCACGCAGAGCAAGCGAGAGUGGCAGCAUUGGUGGCUAUAACAUUCCCAAAGAUACAACUAUUAUGUUGAAUGUUUGGGCAAUCCACAGGGACCCUAAACUUUGGGAUAAUCCCUUAGAAUUUCGACCCGAGAGGUUUCUAGAUGAUGGUAUCGCGAGUAAGUUCGAUUACUCAGGUAACAAUUUUCAGUACUUGCCAUUUGGUUCUGGUAGAAGGAUGUGUGCUGGGAUUCCUCUAGCUGAGAGGAUGCUGAUGUUUGUUUUGGCUUCGUUAUUGCACUCAUUUGAGUGGGAAUUGCCAGCUGGCACAAAGCUAAACUUAUCUGAAAAAUUUGGGAUUGUCAUUAAGAAAAAAGAGCCUUUAGUUGCUAUUCCAACACCAAGACUAUCCAAUUCAGAGCUCUACCAUUAAGACAGAAUGGUUGUGAUGAUUUUGUUAAUUUCCGAAGAUUUGUAUGUUAUGUCAAGUUCAAUCGUAAUAAAAUAUUUCAAAUAAGAGUCCUCCGUUGCUUUUUUUUUUUUUUUCAACCGCAUAAUCUGUCGUCAUGCUUGUAUUUGGGGCUACUUUGGAAUAAUUAUGUUUGAAUUACAAUAUAUAAAUAUUACAUUUUAAAAUUUUAUGAGAUUCUAAAUUUAUACACGUUCAAUAACCCACUUCAUAUAUGUUUAACACAAUUUAUAUCAUACAUUGUAUACCCAUUUGUCAUAAAUUACGCUAUUUUAUAUCUCUAAAUAAUAUUACAUAUUGAUAUUAUAAAAUGUUGUUAACUCACGUGUGUAUAUAUAUAUAGCAAGUCACGUGCAUAUAUUAUUGGUUGUUAUAUGUUUGCUAGUUUGAUAGGAUUUCCUUUCCUUGUGAACUAGGGUAAUUCUUAUGUACAUAUAAAUAUUGAUCAAUAAGAGUGCAGAUGAUGACUGCAGUUUUGCAUCGUAGAAAUUCUUCGUAAAAUAUAUAUGUUUAUCAAAAGGCUAUACCAUUCAAUAUAUAUUGGAAAGAGAACAAAGAAGAUCUUCUUAUGGUUUGAAAAUAUUAUGAAUUCUGCUGUUGAACAGUAUGGAAACAAGGUCUGUUGUUAAAGGUGAAGAAGUCACAGGGAACAAUAUUGAAGGAAGAAAUUUCACGUUUAGUUGCUGAAUUUGCCGCUGUAUUCUAUCGGUAGUAAAAAGAUUAGAGUUUUUAUUUUUCUCUAUUAAUGUUAAGUCAAUUUUCUAUAACAAAUUCGGUUGAGUUUAAUUGUGUUACAAUAUAAAUUGAAUGAUAGUAGAAUUUUCAACGAAUAAUUCAAUAUUUCUAUCUCGAUUGUUGAAGUGCCAUUUAUUUGUUAUACGAUCGAUUUUAAAAUUUAUAAAAUUAUUUGUUACUAAAUUGCAUCAUAUGCUAAAUCACCUGAAACCUAAUUUCAUAACUAACCCUUUAUUUUUAGUUCUCAAGAAAUCUUGUAAGAACAAAAUUCUUUUGUAACAAAACGUUUACAACAAAUUAAUUUGUAACUCAUUCCUGUGCGAGAAUCACUCUCAAUUUCCUUCAAUUGCUGUUUAACAAUCAUCUGCUUAUCAAAAUUCAAGCAUAAUCUUUUUUUUUAAUUUCUUCAUCAUUCUUUUGAAAAAAAAAAUCAGGAUAUGCUGUUAAAUUUUGAAAUAAAUUAUCUCAAAAUAAUUACUAACCAGAAAAAACAAAGGGGUUUAACUAGGUUAUGCAUACCUUUGAAAAUUAUAUGUUGAUCGAUAAGAAUGAUGAUCACGAUUGACGAGUUUAAUUAAAAUAUAUAAGAUUUUAAAAUUAAUCAGGGUUAAAUUGUGAAUUUUAGAAAGAGAGGUUUUGUGAGAAUGUUGAAAGGGUGUUAAUAGUUCCACUCUUUUUAAAAACAACCAUAGUCAUCAUUUUUCCAUGGUUGUUUUUAAAAAGAGUAUUUCUUCUUCCCAUCUCCAUCUUAUUUAGAAAUUUCCCAGAGCCUUUGUUUCCCACCUUUCAUUUUUCUUCUUUCUAAUUUAAUAAUCCACCCUUCUUGUAUUCAAACUAAAAAAUUAAAAUCUGAAAAUUUAAAACCCAAUAUUAUAGUAUUAUAAAAAUAAUUACUCACAUUUUAUCAAACACCUCCAUUCUUCCAAGGCCUUGUUUUAGUAGUAGGCUUUUAUUAUCUCAAUAAAAUUGAAAAAAAAAAUCUCAAUAAUAUUGGAAAAAAACCCUACCCAUAUUUGUAACUUUAAUUUAUUAUUCUCCAUAGACCUACUUUUUAGUUUUGAAUUUUGUUGGAGCCAUAUAUAAACAGAAUAUGUUGAAAUCAGCACCCAAAAAAAAAAAAACUAAUUAUAUAAUUUAUGUUCCCAAGGACAUGGCUGAGUGAUUUUCAAGAAGUUUUGUUUGGCUGGCCACUUAGGUUUAAAUCUUGGUGGAGAUUAAGGGUUAAGAAAUAAAUUUAGACUUUGCACACCCCUUUAACUUUUAAAAAGAAAUGAAAAAAUUAAUUAAUUAAUCUUUAUUUUAUUUAUUAAAUGUCAUAAUCCUAUGCGUAUUUUAUUUGUUAUCUUUCUAUUUAAAAGACGAGGGCAGAUAAAACUGAAAUAAAUUUUUAGCCCUAUCUCCAUAUUUCAAGUUCCAUAGUUAGGUGACCAGCUAAAAAAAAUUAAUUGAAAGCUACUCCAUCAAAUUAAAAAAAUUUAUUUAUUUAAUUUGUGGAGAUGUAGAAAAUCAAACCCCAUACCUUUUCGCAUACACUGAACAUAUUUUAAUACAUGACUAUCAUCCUUUAUCCUAAAUACUACUAUAACUAAUAACAUACAAUUGAAAUAAUUAAUGUUAACACUUGGCUAUAAAUAAAGGUUUUGUGCUUGAAUCUUCACGCAUGACCUUCAUUCCUUUAUUGACUUUGCUAACACAGAUUUUGAGGCAUUAAAACUAAAUAAUAAUUGACUUUGUGGGCCGAGGAUGCCAGCAACAAGGAGACCACAAUUAUCACUUAAGUUACUCUAAUUGCCGUUGUCUUAUAUUCAUAGAAUAUUAGUAAUAAGAUUAUUGCAGAAUUUUUUUAAUAUUAAAAUUAAGUCAAUUUGUUAUAACAAAUUUAGUUGAGUUUAAUCGUGUUACUACAUAAAUUGAAUAAUAAUAGAAUUCUCGACAAAUAUUUCAAUAUUUUUAUCCCAAGCGUUGGAGUGGCAUUUAUUUGUUAUACGAUCGAUUUUAGAACUUAUAAAAUUAUUCGUUACUGAAUUGCACCAUAUGCUGCAUGACCUGAAACUUAAUAAACGGAAUGUAGCGUUGGCACCGUUACUCAACAUACUGUUACGACUUUGUGACAUUAGAAUUAAAAUCUUUUGCACAUUUAAUUUGUUUACUUCAAAAUUAAUAUUUAACAAAAUAUUUUUUUCACAUUAUCAAUGGACAAAACUCCAACGAAAAUAACUACACAAGAAAAAUGUAUGCUAGUAUUGUGUGCCAUAUCAUCUGUAAUUUUGUCAGGAUCGAACACUCUAAUUUUUAAGCAGAACUUUUUAUCAAUGGACAAACACCUCACACAGCUUGUCAGAGGCAUUAUUAUGAUAGAAAACUGUAAUGGUAUAUCUUGAAUUAUUGGUAGAAUAGUUCUUUGGAGCAAUAAAAAUAGAUAAGACAGAUGAGAAAAUUGUCAAUACCCCACCGCAAAAGCAAAAGAAAAAAAGGAAAGGAGACAAAAGAGGAAGAAGAAAAAAAGGAAAGGAGACAAAAGAGGAAGAAGAAAAAGAAAAAAGAACGAAGAAAAAAAUGGUGCCGCGCUGUAUUGGGAAGAAGAAAAAAAUUAAUAAAAUAAUAAUAAAUAAUAAAUAAUAAAUAAUAAAAUAAUAGUGCACAACAAUCAUUUGAUUGCUAUAAAUAAAGGGGCAUUUUCCUCAUUUUAUUCAUCGAAUUCUUCAGUUCCUUUCAAGCGAUUUAAGAGUCUAGUGAUUUGAGAGUUUGGGAGUAUUGUGAUUUUGAGUACUAAGUUAAAAUACUAUAAUACUUGUAACUCAUUUUCACUAGUAAAAUAUUUUUCUUCUGUCUUCGCCCGUAGACGUAGGCUAAAAGCUGAACCACGUAAUUUCUGGUGUCCCUAUGUGAUUAUGUGUCUCAUUAUUUCUCAAUUUUACUUUAGUUACGUGUCUGCUACACCCUUCAAUUUACUAACAAAAAUGGCCAAAAUUAUAUAAGUGACCCAAAUUUUUUUGCUAUUUCCAAGAAAUCCCCAAUCGGAAUAGACCAAACUAGAGGGAGGCAAGUUAGAAAUACGUUUCCUUCAUAAACAAUAACAGCGAUGAGUCGAUGACAUCGAGCCACGUCGGUAUCAAUAUUGAAUUAAAGGUGCAAUUAUUCAGCCAAUGAGCCUUACACAUCAAGAUAAAAGUCAAGAAAAUGAAAAAUUUAUCCUAAUUAAAACACUUUCUGGCUGCAUUUAGCUGUUUCUAUUUGAAGUUAAAAACAACAUUUCUUUCGUUUUGUGGGCAACUCGACUGAGUUCGCUGGCUUCUAGUGCUAGUAUGUGAAAAUAGAAGGCUAAUGAUUUAUUUGUUAUCUUUUGACAAAAAAUGUUAAAGAUAUAAUAGAUUUUCCAUGAUACAAAUGAAAAAUUAUAUCAACAUAACUUCCAAGCUACAGCAGCUAGUGUUUACCAAACACUUUGCUGUAGCUUUUAAGCUACAGCUGCCCAACCUCAAUAGGUUGAUUGAAUUUGUGGGAUAUAGAUUCCACAUAUCUCAUGACCUAUUAAUUAUACAAGUGGUUCUUGAUCAAGAACAACAUUUGCUUCCGACCCAGUAACCCAGCAACUGCUGCACUGGUCGCCACCUAUGGUGCCGACGAUAUUGCAUGGUCCAAUUAUGGCCUUGAAUGGAAAAAGUUGAGCAAAUUAUUUGUGGGCACGAUGAUAAGUAACGCAAGCCUUGAUGCUAGUUAUGGUCGAAGAAAACAAGAGGUUAAGAAUACUAUCAGAGAUAUGCAUAACAACAAAAAGGAAAAAAAAAAAAAAAGGCAUUGGCAAGUCAAUUGAUAUUGCUGAAUUGUCGAUUUCAACUUUGGCAUGUGUAAUUCAGACAUUGCGCGUUGUGGUAUGGCGCUGGCACGCUUGCAUUGCCGAGAGGACAAAUCUUGGGGCUGGGCUAAAAUUUAGGCUUGUAGAACUCAUGGUGCUAAUGGGAACGCCAAAUUUUUUUAACAUAUUUCGGUGCUUUCAUGGUUUAAUUCAAGGUAUAGAAAGGAGUGUUGAGAAUGUCAAAUAAAACGACAUUGAAUGGAAGUUGUCAAAGACAUGAUCCGCACUGAACGGCAAUGACACGGUUGGUAAAGAUUUUUUCAUAAUAUGCGUAUCUAAUUUUUGAAAAAUUGUAACCUCUGCUUCUAUAAAUAUGCUCAAUGUAUAAUGUUUUACUUAAGAAAUGAAAAACUUAAUUCUUUAUGGUAUCAGAGCGAGGCUCGUUGCUCUGUUUGUAACAAAAACAAAGAAAACUAAAUUCUUCCCACAACUAUUUUUCCACCUUUUUUUCUUCCUUAAAAGCAUUCCUAGCAUUACAGAAACCCAUGCCAAUAAAAGAACAAGCCACACAUAUGUAAAAACUUUAGUUUACAAAUCUAUCAACAUCCCCAUAAAUUUUCCCAAAAAGUGAUCUUCAAAAACCAAAAAUACCAUCAAUUUUCGCAUCUUCUAGUAAACAAACUAUAAAAGUUUCGCACUCAAACAGAGCCACACGCGCCUCCACGCGCUUCCCGGAAUCACGGCCAACCACCACGCGCCUCUGUCACCACCAACUCACCCUCAUGCGCUCCAGAUGUUGCAGAAGACGCAAAACGACGUGUCGUUUUCUUCUCUAAAAGUGCAGCAACGUGGAAAUGACUUUUUGUUUUUGCCUUAAAUUGUUUUUCCUCGUUUGAAGCUAUACAACAUUUUUCUUUCUAAACCUGUUUUUUACAAUAAAAAAAGAAAAAAAUGGAGAAAACUCCAACUGAAUCUACUCAUGUUGUCAUUCAAUCUGUUCAACCUGAUGGAGUAUUUAAUGCCGAAAUUAUCCUUACUAAGACAAACUACGAUAUUUGAUCUCAAAUAAUGGAGAUGCAUCUCGCAGAAAGAAAAAAACUCCCAUAUAUUCGUAGCAGCAUAAAUCCAUCUGACAAAUUUUCAAAGAAAUAUGAGAAAUGGUAUAGUGAGAACCAAAAAGUAAAAAGAUGGUUACUCAUAACCAUGUGUCCUGAGAUCAUGAAGCGAUAGUUACAAAUUCCUACAGCCUACGAAAUUUAGAAUGCAUUAUCAAAAGCCUUUUAUAAUGGAAGCGAUGAAAUACAAGUUUUCACUCUAAAUCAGAAGGCGUUCUCUACGAAGCAAAAUGGACAACCACUCUCUAAAUUCUACGGAGAAUUGAUCAAAAUGUUUCAAGAACUUAAUCACCGAGAUAAAGUGGUCAUGAAGGAUCCAGAAGAUGUUAUAAUAUAUAGGAAGUUUGUUGGAAGAUUGAGAGUGCACAUUUUUCUUGCUGGACUAGAUGAAGAAUUUGACCAAGUUUGUGGAGAAAUUCUACGAAAAGAUACUAUCCUAGACUUAAAAGAAUGUUAUUCUCUAAUCCGAAAAGAAGAUGUACGGCAAAGCAAACUAACAAGAAGGUGGACGACUCAGAAACGUCUGCUAUGAUACCACAAGAGAACAAUGUUUUGAAAUUGUUCGAUAUCCUGACUGGUGGGAUACUCGAAGUAAUAACACAAAGCAGAGAUAAAAAACUGCAGUAGCUGAAUCCACAUCCACUACAGAUCUUAGAAAAGAAUCUUCAGCGCAAAUUGCAACCUCUGUCAAUUCAGGUAAGGUCAUUAAAACUCUUACAUUUGUUAUUAAUAGUAUAUGGAUAAUUGAUUAUGGUGCAACUGAUCAUAUGACUUUUGAUUCUUGACAAGUUUCUUAAUUGAAACCAUCUUCACAUAAACAUGUUUCUACUGUAAAUAGAACCACAACCUCAGUUAUUGGGGAAGGAUCUUUACAACUCACAAUUAAAUCAAAUUUAGACUUUGUGUUAAUUGUUCCAUCUUUAAAUUAUAAUCUUUUAUAUGUGUCUCAAAUAACCUCUUACUUAUCAUGUGUUGUAAUGUUUUGGCCCGAUCAUUGCAUGUUUAAGGACAUCCAAAUGAAGGAAACGAUUGGUUAUGAUAUUAAAUAAGGCAACUUGUAUUACCUGGAGAUGACAUCAACAAACACUGAAAAGCUAAGCCCCGCAUUAGUAGCAGACAAUUCCAUGAAAAAAAAGGAAAUAAGAAAUUUGGUUAUGGCAUAGACGAUUAGGGCAUGUGUCAUUUGAUUUCUUAAAAAAAUUGUUUCCUAGUUUGUUUCUGAAAUUUGAUAUUUGUAACUUUAAAUAUGAUGUUUGUGAACUUUCAAAUAGCCAUCGAACUACUUUUCCAUUGUCCUUAAAUAAGAAUCCAAUUCCUUUAAUGGUAGUACAUUCUGAUGUAUAGAGACCAUCUAAAGUUUCUACCAUUGGAAGAGCUCGUUGGUUUGUUACAUUUAUUGAUGAUUGUAGCAGAAUGACAUGGAUUUUUUUAUGAAAUUAAAAUCAUAUGAUGGUGACAACUCUAUUUCAGACACAAAUUUGAGUUCUACAUACUGAUAAUGGAGGCGAGUAUAUGAGCACAACAAUUCAACAGUUUUUGAAAUCACAAUGAACUCACCACCAAACCACUUGUGUGGGGACACUCCAACAAAAUGGCGUUGCUAAACAAAAAAAUAGACAUUUACUAGAAGUUGUUCAAGCAUCACUAAUUUAGGCCCGCAUGCCACUAUUUUAUUGGGGAGAAGCAUUGGCAUCCGUAGCAUACUUGAUCAAUCGGACACCUUCAAUCUUCCUUGGAUUCCAAACUUAUUUUCUAGUUCUAAAUGAAGAAUUAUGUCAUCAAAUGUGUCGAAUUUACCCCCACAUAUGUUUGGUUGUGUUGCCUUCGUUCAUUUGCCAUGACAAGAUAAAUUAUCUCCUCGAGCACUACGUUGUGUGUUUGUAGGGUAUGCCUUACAUCAAAAGGGGUACCGAUGCUAUCAUCCUCUAUUAAGAAAAAAUAUACAUCACCAUGGACAUAAUCUUUCAUGAAGAUAUCAUGUAGUACCCAUCGGAGCUUGAAUUUCAGAGGGAGUAUAAUGAAGAGGAAAUUCAUACUCUUACAUAUCUUUCACCUGAAGAAGAUCAAUCCUCCAUUGAGGUAGUAAACGUUCAAGAUACUGGAAAAGAAAACGACAAUGAUUCUCAGGCUGAGACAAGUGAAGACACAUUUAGGGAGCAAAAUAACUCAGACAUAACCACAAUCGAGAACGAGUCCAUGAAGAGCCACAUGAAGAAAUAUCUAACCAAUCAUCUGCAGAGGAUGAUCCUACCACAAAUCCCAGUCUAAUCAGAAGAAUACUUCCCCAGCAUCAAAAUAGAGGUAUCUCUAAACCCACAUAUAAGACUGACCUCUCUAGUAGAGUCAAAUACCCUAUGAGUCAUUUUGUAUCUAACCAUGGCUUAUCAAAAUCAAAUCAGUCAUUUGUGAAUCAAUUAUCUACUGUGUCUAUUCCUAACAGUGUGCAAUAAGCCUUAAAAUAUCGAAAGUGGAAAGGGCUAUGAAUGACGAAAUGAGAUCUCUUUAAAAAAAAUCAAACAUGGGAACUAAUUGAUCUUCCACCAGGAAAGAAACCAGUGGGUUGCCGAUGGAACUAGUUGAUCAUCCACCUCCAUUCUGACAAGCAAUGUUUAUCAGCAAUAACAAAUGACUGAAGCAUUUUAAUGAGGUUAGUAACGAAAAAGAGUUUAAUUAGAGAAUAUUAUAAGAGAAAUUCUAAUUUUUGAUUUUUAAUAAAUUAAAAUAUCUUAAAAUAUUAUUAGUUGGUGGUGGUUUCAUGUCAGAUUAAGACGUGACACCUUACUAAUGAGGUCGAGACAAUUAGCUUAAAUUAUUUCAAUGCAUUUGAAAUUUCCACUAAUGACUAUAAUUCUUUGUCCUAAUUACUAUGAUAAUUAAUAACAUACAAUUGAAAUAGUUAAUAUUAGCACUUGGCAAUAAAUAAUUAAAUUUCAUUAACACUAAAUAAUAAUUGAAUAUGGCUUUGUACAUCGAUGACGCCAGCAACAAGGGGACCGCGAUUAUCACUCUUUAAGUUGCUUUUAAAAUUGAUUUUAGUAGUGAUAUGAUUAUUGUAGUGUUUUUAUUUUUUAUAUUAAAAUUAAGUGAUUUGUUAUAAUAAACUUAGUUGAGUUUAAUGGUAUUACUACAUAAAUUGAAUAGUUAUCAAAUAUUUUAAUAUUUUUAUGGCAAGCGUUGACGUGGCAUUUAUUUGUUGUAUGAUGGAUUUUAAAAUUUAUAAAAUUAUUUGUUAUUAAAUUACCCCCAGAUGCUACAUCACCUGAAACUUAAUAAAGGUAUGAAGACAUGUGUGUGUGGACUGAAAUGAAGAAUAUGGAAAAGUUGAGAGCUGUUGUGCAGAUUGAGUUCAGUUGAUGGGGUCUAUUAGAUAUUGUCUGCUGACGUGGCAUGAAUUCGUUAUAAUCUGUUAUAACGAGUUCAGUAUAUCAGUAUACAAUAGAGCUGAUGGAUGGUGCCUGUUUUAGAGUCUUUUUUAUAUUCAUUUGUUCAUCAUUUUGCGCAAGAUCUGUUCCAUUGUGAUAUGUGUAAAGUCUUAUGUAAACCCACUUAUGAUUGGAUUAGUUCUUGAUUAAUAACAACGAGUAAAUUUUCCUUCAAGUGUGCUGGUCUGUGCCCCUGUUUUUUGUUCUGAUAUUGUUUCUUUGUUCUGGCAUUUCAUUUCGAUUGUGUUCUUGGUGUUUCUACUCAUCAAGAUUUAUGAGUCUUGUUGAGAUUAAAGACUUAAUAGUCUUAACAAGUGGUAUCAGAGCCUGGUGAAUCUCAGCCAUGUCUCUUUCGAAGCAUGAAAUUGAAAAAUUCACCAUUGGUGGUGAUUUCUCGCUUUCGAAAUUAAAAAUGAGGGCUCUCCUUGUGCAUUAGAGGCUUGAAUUUGCUCUGGAAAAAGAUAAUCUAGAGGCUGCUACAAGUUAUGUGACUGAUGAUAAGAAGAGACAAAUCCAAAACCGAGCUCGUAGCACUCUAGUUUUGAGUCUUGGUGACUCAAUCUUGAGAAAGAUUUCUGAAGAGAAGACAACCUUAGGGAUUUGGAACAAGGUAGAAGCUUUGUGUACAAAGAAGUCGCUAGCUCACAGACUAUUCUUGAAGAAAAAGUUAUACACAUUCUCGAUGAGAGAAGGAGUCACAAUUCAAGAUCACAUUGAUACCUUCAACAAGAUCAUUCUUGAUCUUGAAGGGGUGGAAAAUGUGACAAUAAGUGAUGAAGAUAAAGCCUUCUUCUUGUUGAGUUCCUUACCAAAGUCUUAUGAAGGCUUUGUAGAUACAAUGCUUUAUGGCAGAACAACAUUGACUCUUGAAGAUGUUAAAGCAUCUCUAAGUUCAAAAGAGAUUCAGAAGAACAAUGAGAUUGAAACAAAUAAUGGUGAUGGGCUGAUUGCCAGAUCAGAAAAGAAGAAAGAUCAGAAGAAUAAAAAUCAGGGAAAAUGACAUGGAAAGAAUUAAGAAAAUGCAGACAAGAAGAAAAAGAAGAGAAAAUGCUUCUACUGCCGGAAGGAAGGGCAUUACAUCAGGGAUUGUCUUAAAAAGAAAAAAAAAGAAAGUCAAGAGAAGUCAGGGGAUGCAGCUGUAGCCUCUGAUGAUGCCUCUGAUGGAUAUCACAUUGCUGAUUUACUUGUGGCCUCAAAUAGCAAUACUAAAGGUCAGUGGGUCAUAGACUCUGAGUGCUCUUUUCACUUGUGGCCUGAUAAAACCAUAUUUUACAAAUAUGAAGUUGUUGAUGGUGGUAGAGUCUUAAUGGGAAAUAAUAAUGUGUGUAAUCUUGUUGGUAUUGGUUCUGUGAAGAUCAAGAUGUUUGAUGGAACUGUAAGAGCUCUACAUGAGGUGAGGCAUGCUCCUAGGCUAAAGAGAAAUCUAAUCUCUUUAGGCAUGCUAGACAGCUUAGGGUAUUUCUUUAAAUCAGAAAGUGGUGGUUUAGAGAUAAGAAAGGGGACUGAGAUAGUGAUGAAGGGGGUUAAAGAAAAUGGCUUAUAUGUAUUGUAAGGCUCAUCAGUGCUUCUUCAAAAGGGAAUUUCUGCUCUUUUUGAGGAAGAUAUAACCAAGUUAUGACAUCUUAGACUUGGUCAUAUGAGUGUCAAAGGGAUGUAAGAGCUCAGCAAACAAGGGCUACUUGGUGGGGAUAGAAUCCAGCAACUGGAAUUAUGUGAAAAUUGCAUUUUUGGCAAAGCUCACAGGUCCAAGUUUCACAAGGGGGAGCAUAUGUCUAAGCAAGUUUUGGACUAUGCACAUGCUGACCUUUGGGGGCCUGCUCAAGUCCCAUCCUUGAGUGGUGGCAGGUAUUUCAUAUCACUAAUUGAUGAUUACUCAAGGAAGAUGUGGGUCUACAUACUCAAGACCAAAGAUCAAGCCUAGGAAAAAAUUCAAGGUAUAGAAAUCUUUGGUAGAAAAUCAAUUUGGAUUCAAGCUCAAAUGCUUGAGAACUGAUAAUGGUUUGGAAUUUUGUAGCAAAGAAUUUGAGGAAUAUUACAAAAAAACAUGGCAUAAAAAGGCACAAAACAGUCAGGUUCACCCCCCAGCAGAAUGGCUUGGCUGAAAGGAUGAACAUGACCUUGGUAGAUAAGACCAGAUGUAUGUUGAUAAAUUCAAAGCUUCCAAGAAGCUUUUGGGCAGAAGCUGUCAAUACAACAAGUUGUUUGGUUAACAGAAGCCCAUAUUCUGCAAUUGGCUUCAAAACACCAGAAGAAUUGUGGAAGGAAAAACCUGUAAAUUACCAAAAUCUCAGUGUUUUUGGAUGCCCUGCUUAUCUCCACAUCAAUCAAGGCAAGCUGGAAGCUAGGGCCUUGAAAGGAGUCUUUGUUGGAUAUCCUGAUGGGGUUAAGGGAUACAUAAUCUGGUGUAGAGAGUAAGGGAAGUGUAUAGUCAGCAGGGAUGUUGUGUUUCAUGAAUUUGGAUUGCUAAAAGAAAAUGCAGAGAAUGAUACUAGACUACAAAAUGAUUCAAUAAUUAUCAAACAAUCUGGAACUUCCAAGGUUAAGGUGGAGCUGUUUGGAAAUAAAGACAGUAGAAAAGAGGUAGCUGAUUAUGAAGAGAGGACCACAGCUAAAGUUGAGGAACAUGAGUCAUCAGAGUUGCCACAAGCUGACUUGCAGACUUAUCAGUUAGCAAGAGAUAGAGUUAGAAGAGAAGUCAAAGCACUAGUGAGGUAUGGCUAUGCUGACUUAAUUACUUAUGCAUUGUUGUGUGCUGAUGAUGUGGCAAUUGAAGAGCCUGCUAACUUCUCUGAAGUUAUUGAAAGUGUGCAUUGUGAUAAGUGGCUUGAGGCAAUGCAAGAUGAAAUGGGAUCCCUUCAAAGAAAUCAGACCUGGACACUUGUUCCAAAUCUAGGUAAUAAAAAGUUGAUCAGUUGUAAGUGGAUCUUCAAGAAGAAUGAAGGAAUUCCAGAUGUUGAACCUCCCAAAUAUAAAGCAAGGCUAGUGGCUAGGGGGUUUACACAGAGAAAGAGUGUAGAUUUCAAUGAAAAAUUUUCCCCUGUUCUUAAGCACAUUUCAAUAAGAAUUUUAUUAGUCAUGGUAGCCUUACUUGACUUGGAGCUUGAGCAAAUGGAUGUAAAAACAGCAUUCCUUCAUGGUAAUCUUGAAGAACAGAUAUUGAUGGCACAACCUAAAUGUUUUGAGUGCAAAGGAAAUGAGGAUUAUGUUUGUUUGCUGCAUAAGUCCUUGUAUGGACUCAAGCAAUCCCCACGACAGUGGUACAUAAGAUUUGAUGAUUUUAUGGUCUCAAAAGGCUAUCACAUAAGCAAAUAUGACAGUUGUGUUUACUUUGGUGGAUCAUAUCAAGGUGGAGUUGCUUAUUUGCUUCUGUAUGUUGAAGAUAUGUUAAUUGCAAGAAAAUAUAAGUUGGAGAUAGAGAGGUUGAAGAAAUGAAGGAUCUCGGCAAUGCCAAAAGAAUCCUUGGGAUGAACAUUACAAGGGGCAGAUCUGCUGACACUUUGUUCUUGAGUCAUGAGAAAUAUAUCAAGAAGGUUCUGGAGAGGUUUGAGAUGCAAGACUAUAAACCUGUCCAAACACCACUUGGUCCCCAAUUCAAGUUGACAGCAGCUCAAUCAUCAGAAGAUGAGUCUCAGGUGAGUGAAUUCCCAUAUGCACAGGUUGUAGGGAGCCUGAUGUAUGUAAUGGUAUGCACCAGGUCAGAUAUAGCUUAUGCAGUAAGUGUUGUCAGCAAAUUUCUCAGUUGUCUAGGCAAGGUUCACUGGAAUGUUGUAAAAUGGAUAAUGAGAUAUCUUAAGGGCUCUUUUACUUGUGGUUUGCUGUAUGGGAAGACUAAGAGUGACAUAAGUGAAGUCCUGGGGUUUGUAGACUCUGACUUUGCUGGAGAUCUUGAUAGAAUGAAGUCAACCUCAGGGUAUAUGUUUGUGUUAAACAGUUGCCUGAUUAGCUGGAAGUCAUCACUUCAGUCUGUGGUUGCUUUAUCCUCAACUGAAGCUGAGUUUGUUGCAACUACAGAGGCAGUAAAAGAGGCCAUGUGGCUAAGAGGUUUGCUUAAUGAGUUAUGGUUAAAUCAGAAAAUUGUUCAGGUUUUCUGUGAUAACCAAAGUGUCAUACACCUGGUAAAGAAUCAGAUGUAUCAUGAAAGAACCAAGCACAUUGAUGUGAAGCUCCAGUUUAUCAGAGAUGAGGUUGGAAAAGGAACUAUAAUUGUGUCCAAGAUCUAUACCAGUGUGAAUCCAACUGAUGUUAUUACAAAAGCACUUCCCACUGCAAAAUUUGAAUUCUAUGUGAAUCUAAUGGGCAUCUCGCCCAAACCUAACUAAAUUCAAUAGUGAAUUGUAGUUGAAUGAAGGUUUUUUAGGUGCUGUGUUAUUGAAAGGAUCAACUGAAUCAACUGCAAGGUGGAGAAUGUGAAGAUGUGUGUGUGGACUGAAAUGAAGAAUAUGAAAAAGUUGAGAGCUGUUGUGCAGAUUGACUUCAGUUGAUGGGGUCUAUUAGAUAUUGUCUGCUGACGUGGUAUGAAUUCGUUAUAAUCUGUUAUAACGAGUUCAAUAUAUCAGUAUAUAAUGGAGCUGAUGGAUGGUGCCUGUUUUAGAGUCUUUUUCGUAUUCAUUUGUUCAUCAUUUUGCACAAGAUUUGUUCCAUUGUGAUCUGUGUAAAGUCUUCUGUAAAUCCACUCAUGAUUGGAUUAGUUCUUGAUCAAUAACGAGUAAAUUUUCCUUCAAGUGUGCUGGUCUGUGCCCCUGUUUUUGGUUCUAAUAUUGUUUCUUUGUUUUGGCAUUUCAUUUCGAUUGUGUGCUUGGUGUUUCUACUCAUCAAGAUUUGUGAGUCUUGUUGAGAUUAAAGGCUUAAUAGUCUUAACAAAAGGGAAUGUAGCAUUGCCAUUAAUCAACAUUCACUCUUAUGACUUUAUGACAUUAGAAUUAAAAUCUUUCGUACAUUUAAUUUAUUUGCUUCCAAAUUAAUCUUUAAUAAAUAUUUUUUCACAUUAUCAUCAAUGGACAAAACUCCAACGAAAAUAACUACACGAGAACAAUUUAUGCUAGUAUUAAAUGCCACGAUAUCUAUAACUUUGUCUGGAUCGAUCAUUCUAAUUUUUUCGCAGAACUUUUUGUCAAUGGACAAACACCUCACAGAGCUUGUCAGCCGCAUUAUUACGAUGUAAAAUUGUACCGGAAUAUCUUGAAUUAUUAGUAGAAUAAUGAAGACUAUUUGGGGCAAUAAAAACAAAUAACGCAGAUAAAAAAAUGGCUAAAAUUAUGUAAGUGAGCCCCAAAGUUUUUGCUAUUUCCAGGAAAUCCCAAAUUUGAAUGGACUAGAGGGAGGCACGUAAGAAAUACAUUUUCUUCCUAGACAAUGACAGCUAUGACAUCAAGCCACGGUGGCGUCAGUAUUGAAAUUAAGGUGUAAUUAUUCAGCCAAUGAGCCUUACACAUCAAGAUAAAAGUCAAGAUAAUGAAAAUUUGGCUGUUUCCAUUUGAAGUUAAAAGCAACGUUUCUUUCGUUUUGUGGGCGACUCGACUGAGCACGCCCCAAUAGCUAUAUUUAGGGCGUCAAUUUGAUAUUUGAAUGGACAGGCAAGUAAGAAAUACAUUUCCUUCAUAGACAAUGACAACGAGGACAUCAAGCCACAUCAUUAUAGUUUGUAGCCCAUCUACAUUUAAACGAUUAAUAAACAAGCUUAGGUGUGCCACUGCUAUUAUUAAUUAUCCCCUGAUCAUUAUAGUUUCUGAAACAGUAAAACUAAACGAAAUUGAAUACAUCAACGAGACCGCAAUUAUCACUUGUUUAGUUGCGGUAUUUAACUUAAUUUUAAUAUAAUAUAUUUGUUAGUUAAACUUUUAAUAAUCAAAUAAUUUUGAUUUAAAAAUAAAAUUAUAGAAAUUAUUAAUUAUUAAUUAUUAAAAAUUCACAAUUAAGGGAACGUUCAUCAAACACACAUAGCUAUUGUUUUCUCUAUAUAUUGCAGUGUGUACGAUAUUGAGGGUUGAAGCCCCAAGCAUGCUCUAAAAUCCAGAUAAUAAUUAGAUCCGGGCCAAAUAUUCAUCAUUGUGUCAGCUGAUCAGUCGGUGGACAUCUCUAUUGAAAAUAUCUCUGACAUUUCACUCGACAAACUUAUUAAUAUAAAAAAUCUGUGGUUUUGCCGUCUGAAUAAUGUAGAAAAAUUUGUCUAUGCAUUAAUCUAGAUGUUUGAGGUGAUUUAUACAUCUGUGGUAAAGAUUUAUAGGUUGACUUAGACGUCUGUGGUAUAGAUUUUAUGUAUUUCAUUACAAAAUGCUGGCCGUUAGAACCCUUUCUACAUCUAUUUAUAAGAUUAACGGGUGCCAGCUAUGCCAUUACAAAUUAUCCCCUCAUCAGAUAUUUCGUUAAAAUUCAUUCUGAAACACUAAAACUAAAUAAUCGAAUAUGGCUUUGCGGGUCGAUGAUGCCAGCAGCAAUGAGACUGCAAUUAUCACUUGUUUAGUUUCUGUGCUGGCCGUGGUUUACUUCGCAUGGAAUGUGAAAAAAUCAAGGAAAGCAAAUGCUACACUGCCACCAGGACCUCGCGGCUUGCCUGUAUUCGGAUACCUCCCAUUUCUUGGAACUACUGACUUGCACAAGAAAUUCACGGAAUUAUCCGGAGUUUAUGGUCCGAUCUUCAAGCUUUGGCUUGGAAAUAAAUUAUGUGUAGUGGUGAGCUCACCUUCCCUAAUUAGACAAGUGGUUCGUGAUCAAGAUACAACAUUCGCGAACCGUGACCCACCGAAGGCUGCACUAGUGGUCUCCUAUGGUGGCAAUGAUAUUGCAUGGUCCAAUUACGGUCCCGAAUGGAGAAAGUUGCGCAAAUUUUUUGUGGGCAAGAUGAUGAAUAACGCAAGCCUUGAUGCUUGUUAUGCUCUAAGAAGACAAGAGGUUAAAAAUACUAUCAGGGAUUUGUAUAACAACGACAACAAAAUUGGCAAGCCCAUUGACAUUGGUGAAUUGUCGUUUUCAACAUUGGUAUGUGCUAUACAGAACAUGCUGUGGGGUGAAGCGCUUGAAUUAAAAGAGAAAGGGACCACUAAUCUUAGGGCUGGGCUAAAAUUUAAGCUGGCAGAACUCAUGGUGCUUGCGGGAACACCGAAUAUUUCGGAUGUCUUUCCAAUGCUUUCAUGGCUUGACAUACAAGGUAUAGAGAGGAGAGCAAAGAAGAUUUCACUCUGGCUUGAUAAUGUUAUAAAUUCUACUGUUGAACAGCAUAGAAACAAGGAGUUAACUGUUGAAGGUGAAGAAAGAGCGGGGAAAAAUUUUGAAGGAUCAAGGAACAAGAACUUCUUGCAGUUACUAUUGGAGCUUCAAGAAAAUGAUGACAGUGCUUCCUCAAUUAGCAUGAACCAAUUCAAGGCCGUACUCGCGGUAUGUUAAGCAACUAGCCACGAACAGUUAUACAAGCACAAUUGUAUAUUUGCAUGAGUGAUAUUUUCAACCUUUUUUUUUAAUUAGAAUUUUAUUGUCACCUUUUGGACAGGAUAUAAUUACGGCUGGAACCGACACCACAACUACGAUGGUGGAAUGGACAAUGGCAGAGUUGAUGCAGCAUCCACAAGUAAUGAAGAAAGUUCAGGAAGAAUUAGCUCAAGUUGUGGGCAUGGACAGUUGUGUUGAAGAAUUUCACCUGUCUAGAUUAAUGUAUUUAGAUGCUGUGGUGAAGGAAACAUUUCGUCUGCAUCCUGCAGUGCCUUUAUUACUACCACGUAGGGCAAGCGAGAGUGGCAACAUUGGUGGCUAUACCAUUCCCAAAGAUACAACUCUUAUGUUGAAUGUUUGGGCUAUCCACAGGGACCCUCACCUUUGGGAUAAUCCCUUAGAAUUUCGACCCGAGAGGUUUCUGAAUGUUGGUAUCGAGAGUAAGUUCGAUUACUCAGGUAACAAUUUUCAGUACUUGCCAUUUGGUUCUGGUAGAAGGAUGUGUGCUGGGAUUCCUCUAGCUGAGAGGAUGCUGAUGUUUGUUUUGGCUUCGUUAUUGCACUCAUUCGAGUGGGAAUUGCCAACUGGCACAAAGCUAAACUUAUCAGAAAAAUUUGGGAUUGUCAUUAAGAAAAAAGAGCCUUUGGUUGCUAUUCCAACACCAAGACUAUCCAAUUCAGAGCUCUACCAUUAAGACCAAAUGGUUGUGAUGAUUUUGUUAAUUUCCGAAGAUUUGUAUGUUAUUUCAAGUUCAAUCGUAGUAAAAUAUUUCAAAUAAGAGUCCUCCGUUGCUUUUUUUUUUUUUUUUCAACGGCAUAAUCUGUGGUCAUGCUUGUAUUUGGAGCCACUUUAGAAAAAUUAUGUUUGAAUUACAAUUUAUAAAUAUUACAUUUUAAAAUAUUAUGAGGCUAAAUUUAUACACGUUCAAUAACCCGCUUCAUAUAUAUUUAACACAAUUUAUAUCAUACAUUGUACACCCAUUUAUCAUAAAUUACACUAUUUUGUAUCUCUAAAUAAUAUUACGUAUUGAUAUUAUAAAAUAUAUAUGGAAAAGAGAACAAAGAAGAUUUCUUAUGGUUUGAAAAUAUUAUGAAUUCUGCUGUUGAACAGUAUGGAAACAAGGUCUCUGUUGUUAAAGGUGAAGAAGCAACAGGGAACAAUAUUGAAGGAAGAAAUUUCACAUGUUUAGUUGCUGAAUUUGCCGCUGUAUUCUAUCGGUAGUAAAAAAAUUAGAGUUUUUAUUUUUCUCUAUUAAUGUUAAGUCAAUUUUCUAUAACAAAUUCGGUUGAGUUUAAUUGUGUUACAAUAUAAAUUGAAUGAUAAUAGAAUUUUCAACGAAUAUUUCAAUAUUUCUAUCUCGAUUGUUGAAGUGCCAUUUAUUUGUUAUGCGAUCGAUUUUAAAAUUUAUAAAAAUUAUUUGUUACUAAAUUGCAUCAUAUGCUAAAAUCACCUGAAACCUAAUUCCAUAACUAACCCUUUAUUUUUAGUUCUCAAGAAAUCUUGUAAGAACAAAAUUCUUUUAUAACAAAACUUUUACAACACAUUAAUUUGUAACUCAUUCCUGUGCGAGAAUCACUCUCAAAUUCCUUCAAUUGCUGUUGAACAAUCAUCUGCUUAUCAAAAUUCAAGCAUAAUCUUUUCUUUUUUUUAAUUUCUUCAUCAUUCUUUUGAAAAAAAAAAAUCAGGAUAUGCUGUUAAAAUUUUGAAAUAAAUUAUCUCAAAAUAAUUACUAACCAGAAAAAACAAAGGGGUUUAACUAGGUUAUGCAUACCUUUGAAAAUUAUAUGUUGAUCGAUAAGAAUGAUGAUCACGAUUGAGGAGUUUAAUUAAAAUAUAUAAGAUUUUAAAAUUAAUCAGGGUUAAAUUGUGAAUUUUAGAAAGAGAGGUUUUGUGAGAAUGCUGAAAGGGUGUUAAUAGUUCCACUCUUUUUAAAAGCAACCAUAGUCAUCAUUUUUCCCGAUUUCUUCUUCCCAUCUCCAUCUUAUUUAGAAAUUUCCCAGAGCCUUUGUUUCCCACCUUUCAUUGUUCUUCUUUCUAAUUUAAUACUAUAGGAUUACAAAAAUAAUUACUCACAUUUUAUCAAACACCUCCAUUCUACCAAGGCCUUGUUUUAGUAGUAGGCUUUUAUUAUCUCAAUAAAAUUGAAAAAACAAAUCUCAAUAAUAUUGGAAAAAAAAAACCUACCCAUAUUUGUAACUUUAAUUUAUUAUUCUCCAUAGACCUACUUUUUAGCUUUGAAUUUUGUUGGAGCCAUAUAUAAACAGAAUAUGUUGAAUCAGCACCAAAAAAAAAAAAAAAAAACUAAUUAUAUAAUUUCUGUUCCCAAGGACAUGACUGAUUGAUUUUCAAGAAGUUUUGUUUGGCUGGCUACUUAGGUUUAAAUCUUGGUGGAGAUUAGGGGUUAAGAAAUAAAUUUGGACUUUGCACACCCCUUUAACUUUUAAAAAGAAAUGAAAAAAACUAAUUAAUUAAUCUUUAUUUUAUUUAUUAAAUAUCAUAAUCCUAUGCGUAUUUUAUUUGUUAUCUUUCUAUUUAAAAGACAGGAGGGCAGAUAAAACUGAAAUAAAUUUUUAGCCCUAUCUCCAUCUUUCAAGUUCCAUAGUUAGGUGACCAGGUAAAGAAAAUUAAUUGAAAGCUACUCCAUCAAAUUAAAAAAUUUUAUUUAUUUAAUUUGUGGAGAUGUAGAAAAUCAAACCCCAUGCCUUUUCGCGUGGAAAAGUGUCAACCUGGUCUAGCUAUGUUGCAAAAGUGAACAUAUUUUAAUACAUGACUAUCAUCCUUUAUCCUAAAUACUACUAUAACUAAUAACAUACAAUUGAAAUAAUUAAUGUUAACACUUGGCUAUAAAUAAAGGUUUUGUGCUUGAAUCUUCACGCAUGACCUUCAUUCCUUUAUUUACUUUGCUAACACAGAUUUUGAGGCAUUAAAACUAAAUAAUAAUUGACUUUGUGGGCCGAGGAUGCCAGCAACAAGGAGACCACAAUUAUCACUUGUUAAGUUACUCUAAUUGCCGUUGUCUUAUAUUCAUAGAAUAUUAGUAAUAAGAUUAUUGUAGAAUUUUUUUAUAUUAAAAUUAAGUCAAUUUGUUAUAACAAAUUUAGUUGAGUUUAAUCGUGUUACCACAUAAAUUGAAUAAUAAUAAAAUUCUCGACAAAUAUUUCAAUAUUUUUAUCCCAAGCGUUGGAGUGGCAUUUAUUUGUUAUACGAUCAAUUUUAGAAUUUAUAAAAUUAUUCGUUACUGAAUUGCACCAUAUGCUGCAUGACCUGAAACUUAAUAAACGGAACGUAGCGUUGGCACCGUUACUCAACAUACUGUUACGACUUUGUGACAUUAGAAUUAAAAUCUUUUGCACAUUUAAUUUGUUUACUUCCAAAUUAAUAUUUAACAAAAUAUUUUUUCACAUUAUCAAUGGACAAAACUCCAACGAAAAUAACUACACAAGAAAAAUGUAUGCUAGUAUUGUGUGCCAUAUCAUCUGUAAUUUUGUCAGGAUCGAUCAUUCUAAUUUUUAAGCAGAACUUUUUAUCAAUGGACAAACACCUCACACAGCUUGUCAGAGGCAUUAUUAUGAUGGAAAACUGUAAUGGUAUAUCUUGAAUUAUUGGUAGAAUAGUUCUUUGGAGCAAUAAAAACAGAUAAGACAGAUGAGAAAAUUGUCAAUACCCCACCGCAAAAGCAAAAGAAAAAAAGGAAAGGAGACAAAAGAGGAAGAAGAAAAAGAAAAAAGAACGAAGAAAAAAAUGGUGCCGCGCGGUAUAGGCAAGAAGAAAAAAUAAUAAUAAAAUAAUAAAAUAAUAGUGCACAACAGUCAUUUGAUUGCUAUAAAUAAAGGGGCAUUUCCCUCAUUUUAUUCAUCGAAUUCUUCAGUUCCUAAGCGAUUUAAGAGUCUAGUGAUUUGAGAGUUUGGGUAUAGUAUAGUUUUGAGUAGUGAGUUAAAAUAUUACAAUACUUAUAACUUAUUUUUACUAAUAAAAUAUUUUUCUUCUAUCUUCACCCGUGGACGUAGGGUCAAAGCCGAAUCACAUAAUUUUUAGUAUCCCUAUGUGAUUAUGUAUCUCAUUAUUUUUCAAUUUUACUUUAGUUACGUGUCUGCUACAUCCUUCAAUUUACUAACAAAAAUGGCCAAAAUUAUAUAAGUGACCCAAAUUUUUUUGCUAUUUCCAAGAAAUCUCCAAUCUGAAUGGGCCAGACCAGAGGGAGGCAAGUUAGAAAUACGUUUCCUUCAUAGACAAUAACAGCGAUGAGUCGAUGACAUCGAGCCACGUCGGUAUCAAUAUUGAAUUAAAGGUGCAAUUAUUCAGCCAAUGAGCCUUACACAUCAAGAUAAAAGUCAAGAAAAUGAAUAUUUAUCCUAAUUAAAACACUUUCUGGCUGCAUUUAGUUGUUUCCAUUUGAAGUUAAAAGCAACGUUUCUUUCGUUUUGUGGGCAACUCGACUCAGUUAGCUGGCUUCUAGUGCUAGUAAGUGAAAAUAGAAGGCUAAUGAUUUAUUUGUUAUCUUUUGAUAAAAUUAUUAAAGAUAUAAUAGAUUUUUCAUGAUACAAAUAAAAAAUCACAUCAACAUAGCUUCCAAAGUACAACAGCUAAUGUUUACCAAACACUUUGUUGUAGCUUUUAAGCUACAGCUGCCCAACUUUAAUUUCAAAUGCACCCUUAAUAGGUUGAUUGAAUUUGUGGGAUAUAGAUUCCACAUAUCGUAUGACCUAGUAACUAUACAAGUGGUUCGUGAUCAAGACACAACAUUUGCUUCCGGCCCGGUGACCCAGCAAUCGCUGCAUUGGUCGCCACCUAUGGUGCCAACGAUAUUGCAUGGUCCAAUUGUGGCCUUGAAUGGAAAAAGUUGAGCAAAUUAUUUGUGGACACGAUGAUAAGUAACGCAAGCCUUGAUGCUAGUUAUGGUCCAAGAAAACAAGAGAUAUGCAUAACAACAAAAAGGAAAAAAAAAAAAAAAAAAAAAAAGGCAUUUGCAAGCCCAUUGAUAUUGGUGAAUUGUCGAUUUCAACUUUGGCAUGUGUAAUCCAGAGCCUGCGCGCUGUGGUGUGGCGCUGGCACGCUUGCAUUGACGAGGGGACAAGUCUUGGGGCUGAGCUAACAUUUAAGCUCGCAGAACUCAUGGUGCUAAUGGGAACACCAAAUAUUUUUUGACAUAUUUUGGUGCUUUCAUGGUUUAAUUCAAGGUAUAGAAAGGAGUGUUGAGAAUGUCAAAUAAAACGGUAUUGAAUGGAAGUUGUUAAAGACACGAUCCGCACCGAACGACAACAGCACGGUUGCUAAAAAUCCUUCCGUAAUAGGCAUAUCUAAUUUUUGAAAAAGUGUAACCUCUACAUUUAUAAAUAUACUCAAUGUAUAAUGUUUUACUUAAGAAAUGAAAAACUUGUUUGUUCAAGGAGAAUAAAGAAAAAUUUUCUAUGAUUUUUCUAUGGUUUGAACAAAGAAGGUUUUAACGAGUAUUAUAGACCUCGAUUGAAUGUUCGAAUGUAUAAUAAAAGAGAAACUGUCACAUAAAUGACAAAGAUACUUGAAAAAAAAAAAAAAGGGCAGCAAUAGAGAAUUAGAUCCGACUGUACAAAUAACUAGUUAAUUCAUCGAUACAUCAUUUUCUUGCUAGAAAAUGACAAUUAUGACAGCAAGCCACGAUAGUGUCAAUAUUGAAAUUGAUUUGCAAUUAUUCAGCCUAUGAGCCUUACACGUCAAGAUAAAAGUCAAGAAAAUGAAAGUUAAUAUCAAUUAAAACACUUCCAUUUCUAUGUGAAGUUAAAAAACAACGUUUCUUUUGUUUUGUGGGGGAUUCAACUGAGCACGCGCCACUAGCUAGCUGGCUUCUAGUUCUAGCAUAUGAAAACAGAAUUCUAAAGAUUUCACUUUCACCUUUUUUCUUUUUUUGGGGUUUUGAAUCAAAGUCAAGGUCGCACUGAAUAAUAUGUAAAAUUUGAAAAAGAAGAAUUAAUAGAGAACAAAGUUUUGUUUUAAAUUCACAUGGUGUGCAUACAAUUCAACAAACACUUCCUAUAAUAAAUCUGGAGUUGUAUCCCACGUUGAACAAUAAAGGAAAGUCACCUAAAUAUACAUGUAGGAUAAGUUACUUUAUUUAGUAAGUUUGUAUUUUCUUCUUUCUUCUAGUUUACAUAUAAAUUUGAUUAGAUAACUUAACACAUAUUUUAAUACUUGAUCAGAAGCCCGACGUACAGGUGGAUCUAGAAACUUGAUUUCUAAGAGUAAUACUAUAAUAAAAAAAUAAUGAUUCAUAGAACCAAUAUCAAAAUUUGUUUACAAGAUUGCCCCCACUCAAAGGUAAUUUUCAUAGAAAUUAAUAGGAAAUUUAAUUGUUAGUGGGGUCAAAUUGCCCCCACACUCUGAAUGUAGAUCCACGCCCGACCCUGAGUCAAGUAUAUUUUGCCACAUAUACUCUGAAUGUCGGCAGGAAAAAUCUUCCACUUUAGUUAAAAAUUUUCACUUAAAAAAUAUUUAUGUUAAUAAAGUUCGUAAAGGAAAUGAGUUUAAUUAAUGAAUAUUAUAGGAGAAAUUAAAGGAAAUGAGUUUAAUUAAAGAAUAUUAUAGGAGAAAUUCUAUUGUUCGGCUUUUAAUAAAUUAAUUAAUAGGUUUAAAAGAUUAAUAUACAUCAAAAUAUUAUUAGUUGGUGGGGGUUCCACAUCGGACUAAUACGUGUCACCUUACUUGUGAGAUUAAGACAAUCGACUUAGACUAUUUAAAUAUGUUUGAAGCUUAGAUGGCACCGCUUCAAUUUGCAUUACUGAAUGUCAUUCUUUAUCCUAAUUACUACCGUAAUUGAUAACAUGCAAUUGAAGUAACUAAUAUUAGCACUUGGCUAUAAAUGAACUAAAGGCCGUGCAAUUGAAUCUUUACUUGAUCACUUCACUCCUUUAUUUUGCUAACACAGAUUUUGAGAUAUUAAAACGAAAUAAUAAUUGAAUCUGGCUUUGUGGGUCGAUGAUGCUAGCAAAAACGAGACCACAAUUAUCACUUGUUUAUUUGCUGUAUUUGACGUUGUUUCAUAUUGGUAGUAAUAGGGUCAGUUUUUAAUCUUUUUAUAUUAAAGUUAAGUCAAUUUGUUAUCAAAAAAAAAAAUUGGUUGAGUUUAAUUAUAUUGCUAUGUACAUUAAAUAAUUAUAAUAUUCUUGAGGGAAAAAGACACCUAGAACCUCAAGGUUUGGGGAAAUGGUCACAAAGACUCCUAAGUUUUAAAAAAGGAACACUAAGAUCUUUUUUUACCCAUAAUACCCUUUGACUAGAGUAAUUAAAAAAUUGACUUUAAAGGUUUUUAAAUAAUUCUAAUUUAAUAUAAAUCAUAUAAUCUAUCUAGUAAACUAAUAAUAUUAAAUUAUUUUUUAUAUUUAAAAUAAUGUUAAAUUUUAAAUUAUUAUAUUUAUAAAAUUAUAAAGAUUUUAAAUAAAUAUUUGGAUUGAAUAUAUUUUACAAUUAAAAGUCUUCCUAUUAAUAAUAUUAAAAUUUAAUUUUACAAAAUAUAUAUUCAAAAUAUUUUUAAUUUUAAUUUAUUUAUUUUAAUAUUAUGUUUCUACCUAUUAUUAAAAAUUACUUUAAUAUAAUAAAAUAGGUCUAAUAGAUUGAAAAAUAUGAAAAUAUUUUUAAAAUUUUAAAUUAUUUUGAAAUGUAUAUAUUAUUACAUUUAUUUCAAUGUCAUAUUUUCAUUUAUUAUAAAAUUUUGGGGUUAUUUUUUUGGGAAUUUAUAGAGUCAAAGAGCAUUAUAAUUUAAUCCAUGCACAAUAUCUAUAAUUAUAUCGGUUGUCGGCUGAUUUCGUGGAGGGGGCGGCAGUUCAAAAUUUUUACGUGCAUGUUGGAUGGACGUCUCUAUUAAAGGAGAGCCACCACUUGCAUGGUAAUUUUUUUAAAUAAAUAUAUACAUUUCAAAACAUUAUUUUCUUGUUGUAUAGUUAACAUGUCACCUUAGAUGUAUUUUAGAGCUUCUCCUAUUAAAGAUAAUCUCAUGCAGUGUUACAGAGUAUGGUAAUAUGGUAUAGAUGAGAGCAUCUGAUUAAAUGAAGCAGCUGGUAAUGCUUACGUGUGUGAGUUAGUUAUCCAGCUCAGCAGCAAAGCAAACGAAAUGAAUUGCAUGCAUAUUAGAUCCAACAAACUGGUAAACUCUAGAUUCUUCUUUCAUUUAGUAUAAAUACCAAGUUGUUAUCAUUUGCUAAAUAUAUAAUAAGAUGAUCAUUUUCAGAUCUUUCCUUUAUAAUUUUCUAUAACUUUCUCGUUAGUUUCUCUUGAACCAAACACUUUGUACGAACUCUUUCGUGCAGUGAUACUUCUCGUGAUCUAAUCAUUAGUAGAAUCUAUAAUUUCGCUACUGUAAUAAAAUCUGUCACUACCCUAUAUGAAUGUAGAUAUUUGACGCGAUUUGUAAUUGCUUCCGACAGGAAAACAGCAAUAGUUUUAUUGAAAUUUGUGGUAUAGAUUCCACGAAUCUUAUGACAGAAUACUGACCACUCCAACCCUAUCCGCAUUUACACGAUUAAUACACAAGCUUAGAUGUGACAAUGCAUUUGUCACUCAUUCAAAUUCAUCCUGAAACACUAUACACUAAAUAAUCGAAUAUGGCUUCGUGGGUCGAUGAUGCUAGCAGCAACGAGACUGCAAUUAUCACUUGUUUUGUUGCUGUACUUGUCGUGGUCUAUUUCGCAUGGAAUGUAAACAAAUCAAGUAAAGCAAAUGCUAAAUUGCCACCAGGACCUCGGGGCUUGCCAGUAGUCCGAUACCUCCCAUUUCUUGGAACUACUGACUUACACAAGACAUUCACGGAGUUAUCUGGAGUUUAUGGUCCGAUCUUCAAGAUUUGGCUUGGGAAUAAAUUGUGUGUAGUGGUGACCUCGCCUACCCUAGUUAAACAAGUGGUCCGUGAUCAAGAUAUAACAUUCUCAAACCGCGACCCACCGAUCGCUGGAACUGUGACCACCUACGGUGGCAAUGAUAUUGCACUUUCCAAUUACGGUCCCGAAUGGAAAAAGUUGCGAAAAUUAUUUGUGAGCAAGAUGAUGAGUAAUGAGACCCUUGAUGCUUGUUAUGCUCUAAGAAAACAAGAGGUUAAAAAUACUAUCAGGGAUUUGUAUAACAACAAUAAGGAUAAUAUUGGCAAUGGCAAUGGCAAGCCCAUUGACGUUGGUGAAUUGUCGAUUUCAACUUUGGUACGUGUUAUGCAGAACAUGCUGUGGGGUCAAGCAUUGGAAACAAGAGAGAAAGAGAUUACUAAUCUCGGGGCUAAUCUUGCAGAACUCAUGGUGCUACUGGGAACACCAAAUAUUUCGGAUAUUUUUCCAGUGCUUUCAUGGCUUGACAUGCAAGGUAUAGAGAGAAGAGCUAAGAAGAUUUCUCUAUGGUUUGAAAAUAUUAUCAAUUCUGGUGUUGAACAGUAUAGAAACAAGUUCUCUGUUGUUAAAGGUGAAGAAGCUGCAGCACGAAAAAAUAUUGAACGAUCAAGAAAUAAGGACUUCUUGCAGUUGCUGUUGGAGCUUCAGGAAAAUGAAGAUAGUGCUUCAUCUAUUAGCAUGAACCAACUAAAGGCCGUGCUCGUGGUAUGUUAAGCAACUAGACACAAAAAGUUGUAAAAGCACAGCGAUAUAUUUGCGCGAGGCCCCGAGUGAUGUUUUGCCUCGAGAACUCUCAAUUUUAUCUUACGGUAAAAAAUGUUUUUCAACUUUUUUUUUUAAUUAGAAUUUUAUUGCAAUUUAUUUAACAGGACAUAAUUGUGGCCGGAACCGACACCACAACUACGAUGGUGGAAUGGACAAUGGCAGAGUUGAUGCAACAUCCACAAGUAAUGAAGAAAGUUCAAGAAGAAUUCGCUCAAGCUGUGGGCAUGGACAGUUGUGUUGAAGAAUAUCACUUGCCUAAAUUAAAGUAUUUAGAUGCUGUGGUGAAAGAAACAUUUCGUUUGCAUCCUGCGUUGCCCUUAUUGGUACCUCGCACGGCAAGCAAGAAUAGCAACAUUGGUGGCUAUACCAUUCCCAACGACACUAAUCUUAUGUUGAAUGUUUGGGCUAUCCACAGGGACCCUCAACUUUGGGAUAAUCCCUUAGAAUUUCGACCUGAGAGGUUCUUGAAUGAUGGUAUCAUAAGCAAUUUCAAUUACUCGGGUAACAAUUUUCAGUACUUGCCAUUUGGUUCUGGUAGAAGGAUGUGCGCUGGGAUUGCUCUAGCUGAGAGGAUGUUGAUGCUUGUUCUGGCUUCGUUGUUGCACUUGUUUGAGUGGAAAUUGCCCUCGGGCACAAAGCUAGACUUAUCUGAAAAGUAUGGGAUUGUCAUGCGGAAAAAAGAGCCUCUAAUUGCUAUUCCAACACCAAGGCUACCAAAUUCAGAUCUCUACCAGUAAGAUCAAAAUGGUUUUGAUAAUAUUAUUUCCCAUUGUAUUGGAUUUGAAGUUCAAUCAUAAUAAAAUAUUUUAAUAAAAUGUCCUCGGUUGCUAAUUUUUCAAUAGUAUAAUCUGCACCUGUCUUUUAUAGCAAUUUGGUCUAAUUUAUUUUUGAAUUAAAAUCCAUAAAUAUUUAUAUUUUUUUAAUUAUAUUAGGAAUUAUGUGGGGUGUAUGGUCUGAUCUUCGAGCUAUGCCUUGAAAACAAAUUAUGCAUAGUCGUGCACACGCUUUCCCUAAUUAAGUUUGUGGUUCGUGCUCAAGGCACAGCAUUCACCCCCCGCGACCCAACAAUCGCUACAUUGUUCCCCACCUAAAGUGCCAACAUAUUGCAUAAGUAACGCAAAAUAUGGUCCCCAAUGGAAAACGUUGCGCAAAUUAUUUCUGGGCAAGAUGAUAAGUAACGCAAGCCUUGAUGCUUGUUAUGGUCUAAGAAAACAAGAGGUUAAAAAUACUAUCAGAGACAUAUAUAAAACAACAACAGAAAAAAUUGGCAUUAUCAUCGAUAAUGGUGAGUUGUGGAUUUCAACUUUGGUAUGUUUAAUUCAGAACCCGCAGUGGGGUGGCGCUAGCACGCCUGCGUUAGGAGACGAGGGGACCAAUCUUGGGGCCGAGCUAAAAUAUAGGCUUGUAGAGCUCAUGCUGCUAAUGGUAAUGGGAACACCUACUAUUUCGGAUACUUUUCCGAUGCUGGUUUAAUUCAUGGUUUAGAAAGGAGAACAAAGAAGAUUUUUCGAUGCUUUGAAAAUAUUAUAAUUUUUAUAAAAUCUCUUAUUGAUAACUAAACAACUAAAAUUUCUGUAAAGUUUUUGUGGACUUUUGAUCUCCUAUGGUGCCAAUAUUUUCGACUAAUUUUUUCCUUCAAUUAAUGAUGUUGGUUGAGAAAGACUAUUUUUCUUGCAAUAAUAUAGUAUUCGUGGUCCUAUUAGGGUUCCGAAUGGAGAAAGUUGCACUAAGUUUUUUGAGUACCAAAUGAUGAGUAAUGUACGUAAGCCUUGAUGGUAGUUAUGGUCUAAGAAAACAAGAGGUUAAAAAUACUAUCUGGGAUUUGUACAACAAUAACAAAAUUGGCAAGCCCAUUGACAUUGGUGAAUUGUCAGUUUCAACCUUGGUAAGUGUUUUCAGAACAUGCUGUGGGGUGAAGCGCUUGGAAUAAGAAAGAAACGGAUGACGAAUAUUGGGGCUGAGCUUAGAUUUAAACUUGCAGAACUCAUGGUGCUGUCAGGAACACCGAAUAUUUCGGAUAUCUUUCCAGUGCUUUCAUGGUUUGAUAUACAAGGUUUUGAGAGAAUAGCAAAGAAGAUUUCUCUAUGGUUUUAAAAUAUUAUCAAUUCUACUGUUGAACGCUAUAGAAACAAGGUCUCAGUUGUUAAAAGUGAAGAAGAAGACGCAGCAGCAGCAGCAGCAGGGAACAACAUUGAAGGAAGGAAUAAGGACCUGGUGCAGUUACUCUUGGAGCUUCAAGGUAAAGAAGAAAAUGCUUCAUCAAUUAACAUGACGCAAUUUAAGAGCUUGCUCGUGGUAUGUUUGCGCAACUAGCCACAGACAGUUACAGAAACUGAGUUUGGCAGAUUACGACCGUUUCUGGUGAUUAUAUAACUAUUUGUGGCUGUUUUUUGUUUUUUUUUUCUUUUAAUUGGAAUUUUAUUGUAAAUUUCUUAACAGGAUAUAAUUUAGGGUGGAACCAACACCACAACUAUAAUGGUGGAAUGGACAAUGGCAUAAUUGAUACAGCAUCCACAAGUAAUGGAGAAUGUAAAGGUAGAACUAAGUCGGGCCGUGGCCAUUGACAGCCAUGUUGAAGAAUUUCACCUACCUAAGUUAAAAUAUUUAGAUGUUGUGGUGAAAGAAACAUUCCGCACGAUAAUAUAAUAUAUGAAUCAUAUAUCCUCUAUUGGUUUUUUGCUCCUUUUUUUUUCAAUAGCUUAAUCUAUCAUUAAAAUCUUCUGAAAUUCUAAAUUAAUAUACAUUCAACCUAGAGUUCAACCCAAAGUUUUAUUGAGCAUUAAAAAAAAAAAUUCUACGACUAAAAAUUUUACAGAGUAUAAAUUAAAAAUUAUGCGCCUACUAACAGACAAAAAACAAUUGAUACACAUUCACCAAUCAAAGGCAAACAAGAGAUUAUUAACAAUAACUUAAUAAUAAAAUUAUAAGGAAUCAAAUAGAAAUGGUACCUAGAAACACAUCACGCCAUUUAAUCAAUCACUUACCCAUAAAAUCCAAACUUAUAAACUAUUAAGGGGGGGAAAUGGAUACCUUUGGGUUUCAUUAAAUCAAAAUUACAACACCAUUAAAUACUCAAAAAUGAAAAAAAAAAAAUCAUACCCAAUAAAAGAGAAAAAAAUAACCCACAAAAAAAAUCAUCAAGAAAAUAAAUUUGAGACUAAGAGAAGAUAUUAAUUAACGCCUGGGUUGCAUUGGAACCACGGCUUUGGCUUCCAUUUUUCAAUUCUUGGUCACAAGUGAUUUCUUGUUUGUUUGCAAUGAUGACGGUUGAUUAAUGAAGCUCUAUUAACAAUGAAUGAAUCAAAAAACUUGAGCCUUGAAAAGACUAACGGUCAUAUUUUUCAACUCCGAAUUAGUGGCGUUUGAUGAGUCCUUGCCAAAACAAUCACUCGGCAGAUAACGAUCAUUUUUCAACCAGCAAAACUCAUUCAUUGUUUUUCACCUUAGUGAAGAUUUAAAAAUUGUUUCAAAAUAGGAUUCUUAAAAAAAUAAUAAUAAAAUGAUAUUUAACUUAAUUCUAACUUAGGAAAACAAAAUAUCUACACUCCCAAAGUUUGGAGAAAUGGUCAUUAAUAUCCCCAACUUUCCAAAAAGAGACACCAAGAACCCUUUUAACCAUAAUACUAUUUACUUCUAUUAUCCCAAAAAACAAUUGACUCUAAUAUUUUAUAAUAAAUAAAAAUAUAACAUUAAAAUAAAUGUAAUAGUAUAUACAUUUUAAAAUAGUUUCAAUAUUUAAAAAGCAUUUUAAUAUUUUUAAAUUCUAUUUUAUAUAUAUUGAUUAUUUUAAAGUAAAUUUUAUAAUAAAUAGAAUCAUAAUAUUAAAAUAAAUGCAUUAAAAUUUAAAUUAUUUUGAAUAUUAUGUAAAAUAAUAAUUUUAACAUUAUUAGUAUAUGAGAAUUUUUUUAAUUGUAGAAUGCAUUUAAUGCAAAUAUUUAUUUAAAAUCUCUACAAUAAAUAAAAAUAUACUAUUAAAACAAAACUCUACAAUACAUACAUACAUACAUAUACAUUGGCCUGGUAUUUUUAUUUUUCAUUUUUAAACUUAUUAAAUCCUCUAACUAUCAUUUGAUUUUUUUUUUUUUUCAAUGAUCAAGAGGUCAUUGCCGGAUAAAUGAUUAAAAUCAACUAGUUCUACAAGAAUAUCUCUUUUUAAAGGAAGAUGAUUCUCUCUCUCGAAAUUUUUUUAUCUCGUGCUACAAACUAAAAACUUAUGCCACUUCAUUAACCACAAAGAUCUUUGAGGAAAUGAUGCUUCCCUCCCCCCCCCCCCCCCCCCCCCUCCCACAAAAAAAAAAAAGAGUCCUUCCAUAUUGUGUGAAGGCUAAUAUAUCGAUGAAUCUAGAUUUCUUUAAAUUUUUUGUUUUACUCAAUUCGAGAUAAUAAUUCAAUCCAUGCAAAUAUCUAUCAUUGUAUGAGCUGACCAGUUAAUAGGUUGAUUGAAUAUAUGUGGUAAAGAUUCCACGUAUCUCAUGACAGAAUGCUGACCACUGGAACCCUAUCUACUUUUACGCGAUUAAUUCACGAGCUUAGGCACAACAAUUGCAAUACAAAUUAUCCCCUCAUCGUAUAUUUCGUUAAAAUUCAUUCUGAAGCAGUAAAACUAAACAAUCGAAUAUGGCUUUGCGGGUCGAUGAUGCCAGCAGCAAUGAGAGUGCAAUUAUCACUUGUUUAGUUUCUGUGCUUGCCGUGGCUUAUUUCGCAUGGAAUGUGAAAAAAUCAAGGAAAGCAAAUGCUAAACUGCCACCAGGAACUCGCGGCUUGCCUGUAGUCGGAUACCUCCCAUUUCUCGGGACUACUGACUUGCACAAGAAAUUCACGGAAUUUAUUUUACUAUUAUAUUUAUAUUCAAAAUAAUUUUAAUUAGCUUUUAAAAUGAAUGAUUUUAGGAAAUUAUAAAUAAAGGUAACUAAGAAUUCUCUUAAUGCAAUAUAUUAUUAAUUAGUUUAAAAAUACAAAUUUAUUAAUUAGAGAAAUUAUUAGUGAAUUUAAAUUAAUGAUCUUAAUGAUUUGUUUGUACGAUUGCCCCCAAUCAAAGGUAAUUUUCCUAAAAAUUAUUAGGAAAUUAGAGAAAUUUAAUUUUUUUUAGUGGGUUCAAUUGCCCACACACCCCGACUGAAGCAUUUUUUACAAUAUGUACUCCGUUUGUCGGCAGGAAAAUAAAGGUCUUGACACAUGAUCACUUCAUUCCUUUAUUUACUUUGCGAACGCAGAUUUUGAGGUAUUAAAACAAAUAAUAAUUGAAUAUGACUUUGUGGGUCGACGACGCCAGCAACGAGGAGACCGCCAAUUAUCACAUUUUAAGUUUGCUGUAAUUGCCAUUGUUUUAUAUUAGUAGAAUAUUAGUGAUAAGAUAAUUGUAGAGUUUUCAUUUUUUUAAUAUUAAAAUCAAGUCAAUUUAUUAUAAUAAAUUUAGUUGAAUUUAAUCGUAUUACCACAUAAAUUGAAUAAUAAUAGAAUUCUCCACAAAUAUUUCAAUAUUUUAAUCUCAAGCAUUGGAGUGGCAUUUAUUUGUUAUGCGGUCGAUUUUAGAAUUUUUAAAAUUAUUCGUUACUGAAUUGCACCAUAUGCUGCAUCACCUGGAACUUACUAAACGGAACGUAGCGUUGGCACCGUUACCAACAUUCACUGUUACGACUUUGUGACAUUAGAAUUAAAAUCUUUUCCACAUCUAAUUUGUUUACUUCCAAAUUAAUAUUUAACAAAAUAUUUUUUCACAUUAUCAAUGGACAAAACUCCAACGAAAAUAACUAUACAAGAAAAAUGUAUGCUAGAAUUGUAUGCCAUAUCAUCUGUAAUUUUGUCAGGAUCGAUCAUUCUAAUUUUGAAGCAGAACUUUUUAUCAAUGGACAAACACCUCACACAGCUUGUCAGAGGCAUUAUUAUGAUGUAAGAUUGUAAUGGUAUAUCUUGAAUUAUUGGUAGAAUAGUGAAUAACUAUUUGGAGCAAUAAAAACAAAUAAGACAGAUGAGAAAAUGGCUAAAAUUAUAUAAGUGACCCAAAUUGUUUUGCUAUUUCCAAGAAAUCCCCAAUCUGAAUGGACCAGCCAGAGGGAGGCAAGUUAGAAAUAUGUUUCCUUCAUAGACAAUAACAACGAUGAGUCGAUGACAUCAAGCCACGUCGGUAUCAAUAUUGAAAUAAAGGUGCAAUUAUUCAGCCAAUGAGCCUUACACAUCGAGAUAAAAGUCAAGAAAAUGAAAAUUUAUCCCAAUUAAAACACUUUCUGGCUGCAUUUAGCUGUUUCCAUUUGAAGUUAAAAACAACGUUUCUUUCGUUUUGUGGGCGACUCGACUGAGCUAGCUGGCUUCUAGUGCUGGUAAGUGAAAAUAGAAGGCUAAUGAUUUCACUUUCACAUUUUUCUUUUCCUUUUUUGGGAAUCAAAGUCAAGGUCAAGAAGAAUAAAUGGAGAAUUCGGAAAAAUGGGUGCAUAAUGUGAUCCAUUCAUGAAGAAGAGUACGUGAGCGUCGGGCAACAGUAUUUUUACCUAUUAAGCUCCAGUUUAAUUUUGUUGUAGGAAAACAAAAUUUUGUUUUCAAUUCACAUCGUGUGCAUCCAAUUCAACAAACACUUUGUAAUAAUUAAUGUUGAGUUGUAUCCUACGUUAAGGAGAGUUACUUAAAUUUAUAAAUAGGAUAAAUUACUCUAUUUAAUAAGUUAAUGUUUUCUUCUUUCUUCUAGAUUACAUAUAAAUUUAGUCAGAUAACCUAACACAUAUUUUAAUACUCGAUCAGAAGCCCUAAGCAGUGGUGGAUCCAAUAAAUUGAUUUAUAUGGUGUAAUAAUGUAAUAAAAAAAUGGUGAUUCAUAAAAUUGACCCAAUAUCAAAAUUUGUUUGCAAGAUUACUCCCCACUCAAAGGUAAUUUUCCUAAAAAUUAAUAGGAAAUUUAAUUGUCAUUGGGAUCAAAUUGCCCCCACACUCUUGAAUGUAGAUCCUCCCCUGGCCUUGAGUCAAGUAUUUUUUCCAAUAUAUACUCCGAAUGUCGGCAGGAACAACCUUCCACUUUAAUUUAAAAUUUUUACUUGAAAAAUUAAUUAAUGUUAAUAAAGUUCGUAAGAGAAAUGAGUUUAAUAAAAGAAAAUUAUAGGAGAAAUUCUAAUGUUUGUCUUUUAAUAAAUUAGUUUAUAAGUUUAAAAAGUUAACAUAUAUCAAAAUAUUAUUGAUUGGUGGUGGUUUCACGUCAGAUUAAGACGUGACACUUUACUUGUGAGACUGAGACAAUCAGCUUAGACUACUUCAAUAGGUUUGAAGCGUAGGCGGCACCCAUUCAAUUUGCACCAAUGUCUAUCAUUCUUUGUCCUAAUUACUACGAUAAUUAAUAACAUGCAAUUGAAAUUAUUAAUGUUAGUACUUGCCUAUAAAUAAAGGUAUUGUACUUGAAUCUUCAUAGAUGAUCACUUCAUUCCUUUAUUUACUUUGGUAACACAGAUUUUGAGAGACAUUAAAACUAAAGAAUAAUUGAAUAUGGCUUUGUGGGUUGAUGAUGCCAGCUCCAACGUGAGUGCAAUUAUCGCAUGUUUAAUUGCUCUAUUAGCCGUGGUCUAUUUCGUGUGGACAAGGAAAACAAAUGCUAAACUUCCACCAGGACCUCGCGGCUUGCCUGUAAUCGGAUACCUCCCUUUUCUCGGAACUACUGACUUGCACAAGACAUUCACGGAAUUAGCUGGUGUGUAUGGUCCAAUCUUCAAGCUCUGGCUUGGCAACAAAUUGUGUGUAGUGGUGAGCUCGCCUUCCCUAGUUAAACAAGUGGUUCGUGAUCAAGAUAUAACAUUCGCUAACCGCGACCCACCGAUCGCUGGACUCGUGGCCUCCUUUGGUGGCAAUGAUAUUUUAUUUUCCAAUUAUGGUCCUGAAUGGAGAAAGUUGCGCAAAUUAUUUGUGGGCAAGUUGAUGAGUAACGCAAGUCUUGACGCUUGUUAUGCUCUAAGAAAACAAGAGGUUAAAAAUAUAAUCAGGGAUUUGUAUAAUAACAACAAAACUGGCAAGCCCAUAGAUGUUGGUGAGUUGUCGAUCUCAACUUUUGUAUGUGUUAUACAGAACAUGCUAUGGGGUGAAGCUCUUGAAUUAAGAGAGAAAGGGAUCAGUAAC
rnacentral:lncRNA from 1 species